rnacentral:lncRNA from 1 species
GGGCUUUCUGAAUCAAGCCCAUCACAACUCUUUUCCUUAACACAAACACCAGGUCCAACGUACCCCCUACCUCUAGAUUUUUAUUUCUCUUUUUUUAAUCUUUUGUGUUUUUUAGAACUUUUCUUUUAUACAUUUUAGCGCAUCUUAGUUCAUGUUAAUUCAUGUCAAUACAUCUUUAACACAUAAAAAUAAAAUUUAUUUUGUUAUUUAAA